AUUGAACGCUGGCGGCAUGCUUUACACAUGCAAGUCGAACGGCAGCGCGGUCUUCGGCCUGGCGGCUCGUGGCGAACGGGUGAGUAAUGCAUCGGAACGUGCCCAGUAGUGGGGGAUAGCCCGUCGAAAGCCGGAUUAAUACCGCAUACGACCUGAGGGUGAAAGCGGGGGACCGAAAGGCCUUGCGCUAUUGGAGCGGCGGAUGUGGGGUUUGCUAGUUGGUGGGGGAACGGCUUACCAAGGCGACGAUCCGUAGCUGGUCUGAGAGAACGAGACGCCACACUGGGACUGAGCCACGGCCCAGAGUCCUACGGGAGGGAGCAGUGGGGAACUUUGGACAAUGGGGGCAAACAUGAUACAGCCAUGCCGCGUGCGGGAAGACGGCCUUCGGGUUGUAAAACGCUUUUGUUGGGGAAGAACUGCUCUGGGCUAAUACCAAGGGGGGAUGACGGUACCGGAAGAAUAAGCACCGGCUAACUACGUG
rnacentral:rRNA from 1 species